rnacentral:tRNA from 1 species
GGCGGUGUAGCUCAGUUGGCUAGAGCAUGCGGUUCAUACCCGCAGUGUCGCCGGUUCGAUUCCAGCCACCGCCACCA